UAAUACAAAUUCAAGCAACACAAUGAUAAUAAAAUUACAUGGAAAUAAAAUUAUAUGAACACAAAAAUAAUACACAAAUUAAAAUAUUACAACAAUACUAAUAUUCAGGUAAAUUUAUGUAUUUUUUAUUUUUAUUUAUAUGUAUUUUAUUUAUAAACGUAUUGUUUUGUUAAUUAAGAUUAUGUGUAAUAUUUUAAUGUAUGUUUUAGAGUUAUUUAUAAAAGUUAGAUUGUUUUAAAAUUAUUAUGAAUAAUAUAAGGACUAUAAUGCAAAAUACACAUUUUAAAACCUUCAUAUUUGAAGUAUACUCUUGGAGAAGAAACUACUCAUACUUUAUAUUUGAAAUUUACAUACUCUAUAUACGAAGUAUCUCUUGGAGAUGCUUUCAAUUAGUAUAUCUCUAAAAGUUAUUUACUUGUCAUGUAGCAAUAGUGAUUAUCUGUGAAAAUGAUUUACAUGUAAAAUGAUAUGUUUUCAGGUAUCCAAUAAAAUUAUAUAUUUAACCUCGUAUAAUUGUAAAAUUUAAAUCUGUUUAUAAAUCUUAGGGGGUGAACCCAAGUAUUUUUCAUAAAAUUAUGUCUCUCAUACAUACAAUUUUAAAUUUCUACUUCACAUUUAUUUUGUUGAAAAUUAUAUUUAUUUAAUAAACUUAAACAAAAUCAAUUCAUAUUAUGUUCGUACUUUUUUAUUUCAAAUUACAAAUUUAACUUGUUCUUUGAUCAAAGAAACCAUCAUAUGAUUUUCCAGCUAUUUUAAAUUACAAAUUUAGUUUGUUUUUUGUACCGACUCAUAGAAAUAAUUUUAGAUAUUGGUUUCUUAAUCACAGAACAAGUUAUAUUUGUAAAGUAAAAUAAAAACUACACAAGAUUUUUUUUUUAAGAUAUGGAAGUUUUGAAGUUCACAAGGAAGAGAAAAGUUAAAACCUUUCUUACAAAAAAAAUCAUGGUAUUUAAACCUAUUUUUAACAUGAUAUAUGAAUGAUAAAUAUAUAGAUGCAUGCAUUAUGCAUAACAUAACUAUGCAAAACAUGAGCAAAACAUAUGCAUAUGAAAAAACUUUUAUAUGCAAAUCACAUCACCUAAAACAUGUUUAGCAUUGUGAACAUCAUGGAAUUCAUUCAUUAUGUAGAGAAAUAAAGAAAAAAGCUUAUUAGAGAUUAUACAUAUUUUAAGGAUAUCAACUAGUCUAUUAGAACAUAAUAUUACUGCCAUGAAUGGAUGGAAGUAAGGCAUAUUCACUCCAAAUUGCUGCAUUUCCCUAUGUCGCUAGAAUCAACCAUAUGGAAAACUUUUCCACACUUUUCCACAUUUGUUUUAACAAGCGUGUCAAAUGAGAUUCUCAACUAAAACAAAGACUGAUUAUUCAAACUCACCACAAAGGUAAAGAGAUGAUGUGCUUAGAUUGUGAUUGUAACGAGGCAGCACAAAAUUCACACGAACAAGGUUCUCAUGGCCAAUGAAUGAUUGAACAAAAGUUAAUGUUGUGAAGGCGAUUGCCGUCAUAACCAAAACCUUAACUACAUACACAACAACAAUUAUAAAAGGAUCUUUUGAGCUAUUGGUCAUACUCAUAUUCUUUGAUUAAAGAAACCGUUAUAUAAUUUUCCAGCUGUUUUAAAUUACAAAUUUAGUUUGUUUUUUGUUCCGACUCAUAGAAAUAAUUUUAGUUAUUGGUUUCUUAAUCACAGAACAAGUUAAACUUGUAAAUUAAAAUAAAAACUACACAAGAUUUCUUUAAAAAAAAAAAAAGAUAUGGAAGUUUUGAAGUUCACAAGGAAGAAAGAAGGUAAAUCUUUUUUAC
rnacentral:sRNA from 1 species